AUUGAACGCUGGCGGCAGGCCUAACACAUGCAAGUCGAACGAGUGGCGGACGGGUGAGUAAUGUCUGGGAAACUGCCUGAUGGAGGGGGAUAACUACUGGAAACGGUAGCUAAUACCGCAUACCAUCGGAUGUGCCCAGAUGGGAUUAGCUAGUAGGUGGGGUAAAGGCUCACCUAGGCGACGAUCCCUAGCUGGUCUGAGAGGAUGACGAGGCACACUGGAACUGAGACAGUGUCCAGACUCCUACGCGCGGCAGCAGUGGGGAAUAUUGCGCAAGGGGCGAAAGGCUGAUGCAGCCAUGCGGCGUGUAUGAAGAAGGCCUUCGGGUUGGAAAGUACUUUCAGCGGGGAGGCGUUACCAGAAGAAGAAGCACCGGCUAACUCCGUGCCAGCAGCCGCGGUAAUAC
rnacentral:rRNA from 1 species